UGCCAGCAGCCGCGGUAAUACAGAGGGUGCAAGCGUUAAUCGGAAUUACUGGGCGUAAAGGGCGUGUAGGUGGUUGCUUAAGUUAGAUGUGAAAGCCCCGGGCUCAACCUGGGAACUGCAUCUAAUACUGGGCAGCUAGAGUACGGUAGAGGGAAGUGGAAUUUCUAGUGUAGCGGUGAAAUGCGUAGAUAUUAGAAAGAACACCAGUGGUGAAGGCGACUUCCUGGACUGAUACUGACACUGAGGCGCGAAAGCGUGGGUAGCGAACAGGAUUAGAUA
rnacentral:rRNA from 1 species